rnacentral:rRNA from 1 species
CAGCCGCCGCGGUAAUACAGAGGGUGCAAGCGUUAAUCGGAAUUACUGGGCGUAAAGCGCACGCAGGCGGUCUGACAAGUCAGAUGUGAAAUCCCCGGGCUUAACCUGGGAACUGCAUUUGAAACUGUCAGGCUGGAGUCUUGUAGAGGGGGGUAGAAUUCCAGGUGUAGCGGUGAAAUGCGUAGAGAUCUGGAGGAAUACCGGUGGCGAAGGCGGCCCCCUGGACAAAGACUGACGCUCAGGUGCGAAAGCGUGGGGAGCAAACAGGAUUAGAUACCCGGGUAGUCCCUGUCUCUUAUAC